ensembl:snoRNA
UGGACCACCAGUGAUGAUGGAUGGUAUAUGAAUCAUAUAUGAUGGAGACAUUUUCUGGAGCUCUGAGGUUCCA